GUAAAAGAGGAGUCCUAUUUUUGGUUCAGGUUUCUUGCCAAUAAUUAUCCUUUUGGCUGCAUUGUGUUCUUCCUCUGAGGUUAAACUCUCUCAUUAUCUACCACGCCUUUCUAAACAUGUGUUGUUGCUAGCUUCAGGUUAAACUCUCUCAUUAUCUACCACACCUUUCUAAACAUGUGUUGUUGCUAGCUUCAGGUAAAUCUUCUCCCGGUUAUGCAUGUUUACUAUUUGUCACUUCGCAGGGUUCUGAUUCGUGCGUAACAAUUUUUCUUUGUUGUAAAUAUACACGUGGGAUUUCUUCUGUUCUGUAUAUGUACGAAGGCUUCGUAUGUCUUCUUACUCAGGUGUGGUUCUGGUCAGGGUCCUGUUAUUGAAGUUAUUGCUGGACGUUAGUCUUCAUAUGGUCUGGAGACCUUUAUAUCAAGAAUUUACCUCAGUUGCCAAUUAGGCUCUUCACUAGGAAGACAGGCUGUGAAAAUGGAAGGAGUUCCUUGACAUAGAAUGGAGCAGCACUCCGCACUCGUGCCUAGAAUUACUGAUAUUUGUAUAUAUGUAACUAGGCUGCCAACUUUGAUUUCUAUCCUAUGUUGUAUGACGUAUAUUGCUACCGGUGACUUCAUGAUCACCCCGAUGUACAAAAAAUGUACCAGUUCUAUCAUCUGUUCUAUAAUGGUGAGCAAUGAGUCGGAACUCUACAAGGUGUUCCAUGUAGUUAUACAUUUCUUAACUCUACAUGUACUCCUAACAGUAAGGUUUUACCCA